GACGAACGCUGGCGGCGUGCUUAAGACAUGCAAGUCGUACGAGAAAGUCUCUUCGGAGAUGAGUAAAGUGGCGCACGGGUGAGUAACGCGUGGGUAAUCUGCCCUUAGGUUUGGGAUAACCCCGGGAAACCGGAGCUAAUACCGAAUGAGACCACGAUGACUUCGGUCGACGUGGGAAAAGGUGGCCUCUUCUUGAAAGCUAUCGCCAAAGGAUGAGCCCGCGUUUGAUUAGCUAGUUGGUGAGGUAAUGGCUCACCAAGGCGACGAUCAAUAGCUGGUCUGAGAGGAUGAUCAGCCACACUGGAACUGAGAUACGGUCCAGACUCCUACGGGAGGCAGCAGUCAGGAAUAUUGGGCAAUGGGCGAAAGCCUGACCCAGCAACGCCGCGUGAAGGAUGAAGGCCUUCGGGUCGUAAACUUCUGUCGAGAGGGAAGAAUGCGUACGGGUGAAUAAUCCGUGCGUUUGACGGUACCUCCAAAGGAAGCACCGGCUAACUCCGUGCCAGCAGCCGCCGUAACAC
rnacentral:rRNA from 1 species